UCUUACUGUCUUGCUUCCCUUG
rnacentral:misc_RNA from 1 species